rnacentral:rRNA from 1 species
AUUGAACGCUGGCGGCAUGCCUUACACAUGCAAGUCGAACGGCAGCACGGGAGCAAUCCUGGUGGCGAGUGGCGAACGGGUGAGUAAAGUAUCGGAACGUGCCCAGUCGUGGGGGAUAACGUAGCGAAAGUUACGCUAAUACCGCAUACGAUCUAUAGAUGAAAGCGGGGGAUCGCAAGACCUCGCGCGAUUGGAGCGGCCGAUAUCAGGUGUAGGUAGUUGGGGGGGUAAAGGCUCACCAAGCAGACGAUCUGUAGCUGGUCUGAGAGGACGACCGGCCACACGGGGACUGAGACACGGCCCAGACUCCUACGGGAUGCAGCAGUGGGGAAUUUUGGACAAUGGGCGAAAGCCUGAUCCAGCCAUGCCGCGUGCAGGAUGAAGGCCUUCGGGUUGUAAACUGCUUUUGUACGGAACGAAAAGGUUUGGCCUAAUAAGCUGAGCUCAUGACGGUACCGUAAGAAUAAGCACCGGCUAACUACGUGCCAGCCGCCGCCGUAG